GAAUUCCUCUAAACUAUAUAAUCAAUCAUUUGUUUCCACGAGCUACAUUGUUGCAUUAGGCUUUCACUGUCAAGUGGGCAAUAUUAUAUUUAUUUUGAUGAGACGAGUACAAGAAAGUCACGAUGUCAAGGCUCAAUUUAACAAUCGGCCCGGGGGCAACGAGGCCAACGAUAAUCUUUAGACCAGUGAAACAUCCGUCUUCCAGCUCAUCACAUUCAAAAGACCAAGGGUUGUGGAUCCGAAUCCCACCAUCGCCACUGCUGUCUACGAGUUUGCUACUAAAGGUUUAACCAGUGGUCCUUCUCCAUAUCCUGACAGCACAGCAGAUUUGAACUAAGCAUGGGUAUCAUGGGUAUAUAUUGGCUUAAAUCCAAGAAGGACAUCAGUCUCAUCACCUUUUUAACCAGUAAAUUUUUGGCUGUGUAAUAAUAAUUUACGAAACUCUUAAUUUGACUGACAGCAAAGAUAUAAUGUUUACUAAGCAACUAAAUACAAAUAUAGUUUACAUUUUCUCAAUACUGUUUAUUUCAUAUUAAGCUCCUGUACUUUUUUGUAAAAUAUUAUUACUU